rnacentral:tRNA from 1 species
GUUCCUGAAGCUCUUUGAGUGCAGUAUUGAAGGUUCUGAGGAUGGGGGACA